AAGAUGAAGGCUCUGGCAGAUUUGGUGUCUGGUGGGGGCUUGGUUUCUGCCUCUAAGAUGAUGCCUUGACCGCUGCUUCCUCUGGAGGGGAACAACAAUGUCCUCACAUGGCAGAAGGGAUUGAAGGGACUAGCUAGUUUUAUUAUCAAGCCCUUUGAUGAUAUAACUAAUCCAUUCAUGAGGGCUGACUGCUCAUGACUUAAUCACCUCCUAAAGGCCCUGCCUGUUAAUUGAGUCCUACAUUUGGGAUAAUCUUCAAAUCUACCUCUUUGUCAAAAAGUCACCAUAUCAUCAGCCAACCUCUUACAGGCCACGCUUAUUGCUCUCUGGAGAACGGGGCUCAGGUCAAACUUCUCACCUUGCUCCAGCACUUUUGCACACUCUAGAAAGAUUCUCUGUGCAUAGACUAGAUCUCCCAGCACUUUAUUCAGUUAGUGCCAAAACACCUGAGGAAUCAUGUGCACAGCCCAAAAUAAACUCUACAUGGGCAGUGGAACUAUAAAAGUACUGGAAAAAUUCAC
rnacentral:lncRNA from 10 species